GGGAGCGGAAGGGGACCGGUGUCUUCCACAGUCUUCAAAACUGAUGCGGGGCGGUCCGCACCGUCUCGGGUGGGUUCGACUCCCAUGCGCUCCCGCCA
rnacentral:tRNA from 2 species